UACGAAGGGAGCUAGCGUUGUUCGGAAUCACUGGGCGUAAAGCGCACGUAGGCGGAUGUGUCAGUCAGGGUGAAAUCCCGGAGCUCAACUUCGGAACUGCCUUUGAUACAGCACAUCUGGAGUCCGGAAGAGGUGGGUGGAAAUUCCUAGUGUAGAGGUGAAAAUUCGUAGAUAUUCGGAAGAACACCAGUGGCGAAAGGCGG
rnacentral:rRNA from 1 species